rnacentral:tRNA from 2 species
GCCGAUGUGGUGAAAUUGGUAGACACGCCGUCUUGAGGGGGCGGUGGCGCAAGCCGUGUCAGUUCGAGUCUGAUCAUCGGCACCA